rnacentral:rRNA from 1 species
UACAGAGGGGGCAAGCGUUGUUCGGAAUUACUGGGCGUAAAGGGCGCGUAGGCGGCCACCUAAGUCAGACGUGAAAUCCCUCGGUUCAACCGGGGAACUGCGUCUGAUACUGGGCGGCUUGAAUUCGGGAGAGGGAUGCGGAAUUCCAGGUGUAGCGGUGAAAUGCGUAGAUAUCUGGAGGAACACCGGUGGCGAAGGCGGCAUCCUGGACCGAGAUUGACGCUGAGGCGCGAAAGCCAGGGGAGCAAACGGG